rnacentral:lncRNA from 1 species
AAUUUUUUUUUUUUUUUUUUGCAAACCUGACCCCAGAGUAUGCCAGAUCCGCCACAAAUACAGGGAAUCCACUGUUCACACGGACAGAGUCUCCCCUGUAUUUGCACGGCGUCGUACAAGUACAAGAGUAUAGCCAGGAAACAACCACAACCAAAUGAAUAUAACGAUAACUAUACAUUCAUACAUUCACAAUUCACGUCACAGUUUUACAUUCAGUGUUUAAAUAGAAAUUCACGAAAAUUCUUUUGAAAACCGUUCCCUACACGGAAACCUUUAUUCGUUAAAAAUGCUACCACGAGGGGUAGAAAACCUUUUAUUUUACAAAAUCCAGAAAUCCACAUUUUCAAAUGUAAAUAAACACUGAACCACAUAAACCAACUAAACUAUUCAUCAGCCAAAAUAAGAAGGGUAAGAAAGUAAACCGAAUUAACCCGGGUCGAAAGCUCUAUCGACCGCUACACGCGUACCUCACGUCUCGUCCCACUACUCAUCGCCCACGAUACCUGAAAAAUGGUGGGGGAGGUGAGAACAUGUAAACAUGUCUCCCUUCCCAGUGGGUACCGCAAGCCGAAGAAGGCGAGGAGUACUCACCGGAUCAGGAAGAGAUAACCAACAGUAUGGGUAAGUAAAAUACUGUAGCAACGAUAAUGAACGAAUGAGAUAUAUAUAUAUGAAAACACAACUACCGCUACUGUAAUGUACAACUGCAAGCAUACAAGGAUAUCAAUACUAUAGUAGCAAGACAACUGUAAAGAAAGAACUAGAAGUACAUAUGCAACAACCGCUACUAUAGCUAUAUGCGUCAACCGGACGAGAAGUCCCAAAAGUACCCAAUCUAAACCGCCGUGUCGGUCUAAGGACCUCAGGCAAAAGCCACUAUCUGCUCACACCUGGCAUGUAACCCUAGCACAAAGAGAACACCGCUGGGCUCACGGGUCGGAUGUACGACCACUUUUCCGGAAAAGAACACCCUCCUGCGGGGGAUCAACCCGCUGGUGUACGUGAAAUGCACUCGAGCUGUGGCGAUCAAUGCGGAUAUGAUCAAUAGCCAACCGUCGGCAAUCAGCCAACAAUCACUGCCCCUCUGGGCAUACCGACCGUGUAGGUCAUCAAGUAACAACGUGAACCGACCGAGAUAGGUCAAAGUACGGAAAGUAACGAACGACCAAACAGGUCACCGAUGCAAAUAGGANUAGAAUCGUCGAGGGGGAUGGGGCUCAGCCCACAAUAGAAGUUACCGGCGACGACAACCCAACCUGCUGCAGGUUCAAUGGGUCGAAACAAGUCAAACGGGUAGCUGUGAGGAGCAUUGUUUUAUAUCCUCAUCCCUAUAGCGACAGUGCUCAUAUCUGCAAGUGGAUAGGAAAGGCGUUAGCCUUGAAUGAUUCCGAGACCUACAAGACAGGGUGUGACCUUGCAGAUAUCCUUUGAGGACCUACUAUAUGUGUGGAGUCGUGAGGCCGUGACUAUAGGAAGAGGGCGGUUCUCUAAAACACACACAAAGCGAUACUAGCGUAUGGCUAUAAAAGCGCUCACCCGCUUAGAACCUAAACAACUGUACUAUGUGUGCUGUUUGUGAAAAUCCGAUUCAUCGCCCUUAGUUCAAGGGAUAGUCCACUAUCGUGCCCUCGUACGUACAUUGAUAAGCACUAAGUGAAGGUUCAAACUCGAAAGGUACCUUUACUAAAAACGUGGUAUAAGAGAUCCAGCAUUCUUUUGAGUUGUUUUGAAUUUUAGUUUAUUUACUUUCUUUAUUUGAAGUUUUUAGUCAUGUGGGGGAAUGUUAGAGUGUCACGCCCCGGGGUCCCUUUUCAGUUUAAAACAAAGCGGAAAAGCAUCUGAAUUUUUUUUUUUGAAACCUGACCCCAGAGUAUGCCAGAUCCGCCACAAAUACAGGGAAUCCACUGUUCACACGGACAGAGUCUCCCCUGUAUUUGCACGGCGUCGAUCCAAUACACAGUACAACCAGGAUACAACCACAACUAGAUGAAUAUAAAAAUAACUAUACAUUCAUACAUCCACCAUUUACAUCACAGUUUUACAUUCAAGGUUUAAACAGAAAUCCACAAAAAUCUUUUGAAAACUGUUUCUUACACAGAAACCUUUAUUCUUUUAAAAACACUACCACGAGGGGUAGAGACCUUUUAUUUUACAAAAUCCAGAAAUCCACAUUUUCAAAUGUAAAUAAAUACUGAACCACAUAAACCAACUAAACUAUUCAUCAGCCAAAAUAAGAAGGGUAAGAAAGUAAACCGAAUUAACCCGGGUCGAAAGCUCUAUCGACCGCUACACGCGUACCUCACGUCUCGUCCCACUACUCAUCGCCCACGAUACCUGAAAAAUGGUGGGGGAGGUGAGAACAUGUAAACAUGUCUCCCCUCCCAGUGGGUACCGCAAGCCGAAGAAGGCGAGGAGUACUCACCGGAUCAGGAAGAGAUAACCAACAGUAUG